rnacentral:rRNA from 1 species
UACGGAGGGUGCGGGCGUUAUCCGGAAUUAUUAGGUUUAAAGGGUGCGCAGGCGGAUUGGUAAGUCGGCGGUGAAAUACCGGGGCCCAACCCCGGGGCUGCCGUCGAUACUGCCGGUCUUGAGUGCGGGCGACGGAGGCGGAAUGUGGGGUGUAGCGGUGAAAUGCUUAGAUAUCCCACAGAACACCGAUUGCGAAGGCAGCCUCCGAGCGCGCGACUGACGCUCAGGCACGAAAGCGCGGGUAGCGAAC